CCUACGGGAGGCAGCAGUGAGGAAUAUUGGUCAAUGGACGCAAGUCUGAACCAGCCAUGCCGCGUGCAGGAAGACGGCUCUAUGAGUUGUAAACUGCUUUUGUACGGGGGUAAAAGCAGAUACGCGUAUCUGUCUGAAAGUAUCGUACGAAUAAGGAUCGGCUAACUCCGUGCCAGCAGCCGCGGUAAUACGGAGGAUUCAAGCGUUAUCCGGAUUUAUUGGGUUUAAAGGGUGCGUAGGCGGGCGGUUAAGUUAGGGGUGAAAUCCCGAGGCUCAACUUCGGGAGUGCCUGUGAUACUGGUCGUCUAGAGAGUAGUAGCGGUAGGCGGAAUGUAUGGUGUAGCGGUGAAAUGCUUAGAGAU
rnacentral:rRNA from 1 species